CCACACCCCCGAGGAAUUCUUUUUGGGGUGGGCACCGGCGCCCUUCGACCUUCCGACCUUUGACCCUCGCCGGUUGGACCCCGAUGCUCCGCUCUAUGAGCCCCCCGAGGCCUCCCUGACCUCCCCCAGCCCCGAAGUGCUGGUGGCCGUUGGCUUCCCGGCAGCUGGCAAAUCCACCUUCCUGAAGACUCACAUCAUCCCCGCUGGCUACGUCUACGUCAACCGGGUAGGGGGGCUGUGACCGCUGAUGGGGGCAC